GUGGGAUCAGCUGUUUUUUGAAGAUAAUUUGUUGUUGUGAGAGACCUCACAUAGUCCCCAAGGCUGCAUUUUCCAUUCCAGUCUCACCGUGGAGUAUUGGUUGCAGCAGGACUGUUAAUCACUGCUAAUUGUGAGGACAGCACUGCGGCAGGAACAACUGUCCCCAGUGAAGCCAGCUGAACCAGUCUUCAGUGCCAGAAAUGCAGUAUCAGCAAUGACAGCAAGGCCCCAGGCACUAGCAGAAGGAGUAUUGGUGGCUUGGCAGGAUUGAAAUCGCUGCAGAAACAUGUGGGGCAGACAAGGUCUGCUGUGGUCCCUCGCUCUCCUACUCUUCCAUGAGGACAAGUUUCCAUAUCCCUGAAGACUGGUGAUAGGGGAAGAAAAGUGCAUACAGCAGGACAAGAGAAGAAAGAUGAGCUAUCUGCUGCACAAAGCCAGAACGGCCGGCUGGAGCUGGAGAGACACACAAGUGUGGCACACACAGCAAUCCUCCUUACGGGCCAGUUCAGUCCUGCUCCCUUCUACCCAGCUGGGCUCGUGGAUCCCUGCAAAGGGAAAAACUCAGGCUGGAUUGCACAGCAAGAGAAGAGAGUGAACAACAGGACACGUUCCUUCCUUCACGACUUCUUGUUUUGCACAGAUGAUCUCAAAGGACAAACCCAACUCCCUCGGUACAAUUCACAUUCAAGCAAAUAUUAUGGAAACCAAACACAGCCUCUAGAAUAUUAUUCUGGUUUCACAUAUCAACAAUGAAGACACAAGGGACUACAUAGAAAACUUCCUGUGGGAUCUAGUGAGCCCUGCAUCUUCCUCAACUGAGUUAGACUGCAUUUUCAGUGUAGUAACCCUUUAUGGUUACUUACUGUAACAUCUCUGGUGCUUCUCCUUCCCAAGAAACCACUAAGCAACAAAGUUCACAGCAAUCCUCCAGGUUUACAAGGAGUUUUUUCAUUUGAACACAGCAUGCUCCCUUUGUUUACCUGCUGUUUGGUCUCAUGAUGCAACCCAACAUUCUCUAAUCAGUUCAGAGCACUUGUAACACAGCCAGAGGCUUUGUCACCCACCGGAAACUGCGGGCUUAACAAACUUAUGCAGCCAGACAUCAUCGGUGAGUUAUUCUUGUGCAAAAUUAAUAAAAAAAUAAUUAAUAAAACAAAACCCCCAACACAUGGACCAGGUUGCAGCCUUCUCCCUUCCACAUCUUUCUGGCUAAAAAUCCAGAGAGGGAGGCCAGGGCCCUGCAGCUGGUUAUGGAAAGGGCUGAGCAUCCGGCAAGGGAGCACAGCUGCUGGCCACAUGACACACGCCCCGGUACCAGCGACGCACGGCGCUUGCUCGUGGGCAAAUCCGCUCCCACCACAGAGCAUCCUGGGAUUAUUUGCCACUUUGUGCUUUCUCCCACUGCCCCCCCAGAGGAUUUGGGACUAAACAUGGGGAAAAAAAGGCACUAAUCAUGAAUAAUGCAGUUCCAGUUACAGUGCUUGAAAUGUUCAGCUCAAAAAUGCGUGCUCGCUGUUUCCUUCUACUGGCUGCUUAGGCAGGCCUGUGGAUGUCACUGCAUGGACACACCUGGAGUGGAUGUGAUCAGCACAUGUAUAAAGAUCAGAAUUAACCCCAAAUUCCUCUGCUUUCAAGGAACUGUUUAGUUUAAUGAUUAAAACCUCAUGAGUGCCUGGAUUGUGUGAACACCUGUCAGUGCUCUUUGGAAGAAAAGGUAUUUGCUUGCUUAUUUAUUUGAAAACUGAAGCUAUAUACUAGUCAAAGGAAUUUUAUUUGGCUUUUAAAACAGAAUUGAGAUGGCAGUUUCAGCUGAAAAGUGAAGCUUCAGUGCAAAGCCAGCACACAAAGUUCCAACACCCAGCUUUCGUUCCUGUGAGCACUGACUUUGCUGCAGGGGGGCAGUUUGAACUGAGCUCUGCACCUUUAAAUUUCUUACCCCUCUGCUUUUGUGGGUAGCUGUACUAGGACCCCCACACCCUUGCAGACUUAGGAAGCCUGUACACUUAAACUGUAGAAAAAAAGAGAAUUGGGAUUUUAAGCAUUGGAGCCUGCCCUCCCAACCACAUCUCUUCCCUUACACAGCCCAUCUGCAUUACCUUUUGCACAAAUGUGGAUUAUUCAGUAAUUAAAAAAGCAUUCCCCAAAAGCUCAUCAAUGGUGACAUCCUUCCUACCUAAAGCUCAUUUGGACUCUGGAUCUAAUUUUCAAAAAAGUCAAGAGCUGUUUUCAAAUGGGCAAGAAAAGUCCAUUUCCUCAGCUCUCUCCAACAUUUGCAUCCCUGCUUGGAAAAUAAAUAAUUAAGUUGUGACAUGGCAAAGAACAAGCCAGGAAAACAUCAGCCCAAAAGAGGCAAGUUUUGGAGAGCUGCAAACAAAGGAUUACAAUGGGAAUGCUUAUAUAAUCUUAAUUACAGAGGAUGCUUCUUCCAUAACCACAAUGGCAUACACAUGGCCUACAACUGCACAUGCUGGAGAGAACAGUAGUUAUUCCACUGGCUUCUCCCUGUGCUUACCACAGUUAACAGGGCAAAGGAAAUUCAUUUCCAUGCCCUUCCCCCAAAAUGGAAAGGUUAACCAUAAUUCUGUGGCGAGAUGAAAGCGUUAUCACUACUCCAGAAGGAUAUCAAUCUAAAUAACCCUCACACUCAGUAAAUCAAUAGGAUUCUUCUGGUUGCAUCAGACCAGCCACACAGUGUUUGCAUAGGGAAACAAUCAAUAUGAAUGUCAUCCAAAUACGGAACUGACAACAGCAGGGAAUGUGAGCAAAGGGAGGAGAUGGGGGGAGGGAAAGGGGCUGAGCAAGAGGAGAAAAGAAAGCAUCGAAGGUGUCGGAGUCAGGAAAACCCUUCCGAGUUUUAGUGCCUCAGCAACCUCCAUUCAUAUCUUGAGAAAUGUCAGAAAUCAGGAAAUAUUACUUCGGGUUGCAUGCUUCUGUCCUGGCCUAUCAAAUGCACGGAGUAGUAACAGCAAAUUACUGGAAACUGCACUUUGAACUUAGCCACUGGCAAGGAUCCCAGUCAAACAGAAAUGUAAAAGUGCCUUUCCUCCAUGGGGCCUCCUGUGUGGGGGUGUCCCCAUAGACGUUCAAUAGCUGGUUGCAACAGGUUGGAAUGAGGCCCUGAGCCAGAAAAACAAGCCCUGACCAGUAUUAUUUCCUACUGCCUCGGUUGUUUAUUAAAAGAUAUUUUGACGCAUCACUCUCAGCUUUGUUGGGCUGCACUGGAGGCUCGAGGCCCAUCGAGGAAAAACUGGCACCAUUUUCACUAAGUGCUCACGCCUCCUUUUCUUCCAGCAUUCCUCCUCCUGCCUCCCCUUGUGCACGGCUAUAGGUGCAGCACAAAGAUACACUUAAAGAAGAAUUGGAAACAGGCAGACUGGUUGCUAAGCAAAGGCUCUGUAUUUCCUACAAAUAGAGAAGUAAUUAGAUUCAAAACCCUAUCAAUAUUCCUAGCAUAGGCAGAAGAAACAACAUUUUUCUGCACACCAGACUUUUAUAACAGGGUUUGAAAAGAAAAAAAAAAUCCAACCACACAGUGUUCAGGAACAGUAACUUAAUGUUAUUAACAACCCAGGGAGUGCCCAGUGAGUGCAGAAAGGCAUUGUAGCCUUCCCCCUUCCAGAGGUGAAAUGAUCAAAAGACUGGCCUCUUUACAGUCUGUUAUAUUUCUGUCUAAGAAAACCCAAUUUGCACAAGCAAAUAAACUAGCUCAUUAUAAAACUGAGGGGUCAGCCUGAGUCAGAUAAACUCUGAAGUCAGACAGCUGAAGAAACAAACUUUUAUUUAAGCCACAGCACAGGUGAUCCUAAGAGGAAACAGUAAAUCCCCAUAGAGCCACAACUUCCACAUUGGGCAACAGAGAGCACGAGGAAUGGAGGUGCAGGAGUGCAAUUUUCUAAGGCCACACGGCUCAGCACACAUUUAAUCAGAAACAACAGAUCCCGGCCUUGCAUUCAAAGGGGGGGAAAGCAAAUAGAAAAAUCAAACACUGUCGUCACAAUGCAGCGAGUCAAACAUUAUUGAAAUCAUAAGGACUAAUCAGUUUCUUGCCUUUUCUUUUUGUUUUUAAGAGACCAAAUUUUUUUCUUAUUCUUUCCCCUCCAGGGAACUAAAAACAAACAAACCCCCACCCCCUCCAACCCCCCAAAAAAUCCCCACCAAGCCAGUUCUUCUUUUGGAGAUUGCCUAGUUACCAAUACACCAUCAAGCACAGAUUCCAUUUUUCCCUUCCUGAUGAAAGGAAUUAAGCCUGACUGCAUCAGGACUAGU